GCUCAGGAUGAACGCUGGCGGCGUGCCUAAUACAUGCAAGUCGAGCGAACUGACGAGGAGCUUGCUCCUUUGACGUUAGCGGCGGACGGGUGAGUAACACGUGGGUAACCUACCUAUAAGACUGGAAUAACUCCGGGAAACCGGGGCUAAUGCCGGAUAACAUAUCGAACCGCAUGGUUCGAUAGUGAAAGACGGUCUUGCUGUCACUUAUAGAUGGACCCGCGCCGUAUUAGCUAGUUGGUGAGGUAACGGCUCACCAAGGCAACGAUACGUAGCCGACCUGAGAGGGUGAUCGGCCACACUGGAACUGAGACACGGUCCAGACUCCUACGGGAGGCAGCAGUAGGGAAUCUUCCGCAAUGGGCGAAAGCCUGACGGAGCAACGCCGCGUGAGUGAUGAAGGUCUUCGGAUCGUAAAGCUCUGUUGUUAGGGAAGAACAAAUGUGUAAGUAACUGUGCACAUCUGAC
rnacentral:rRNA from 1 species